rnacentral:rRNA from 1 species
GAUGAACGCUGGCGGCGUGCCUAAUACAUGCAAGUCGAGCGAACGGACGAGAAGCUUGCUUCUCUGAUGUUAGCGGCGGACGGGUGAGUAACACGUGGAUAACCUACCUAUAAGACUGGGAUAACUUCGGGAAACCGGAGCUAAUACCGGAUGAUAUUUUGAACCGCAUGGUUCAAAAGUGAAAGACGGUCUUGCUGUCACUUAUAGAUGGAUCCGCGCUGCAUUAGCUAGUUGGGCAGGUAACGGCUUACCAAGGCAACGAUGCAUAGCCGGCCUGUGAGGGUGAGCGGCCACACGAGUGCGGAGGCACAGGCCGGACCUGUGAGACAGGCAGCAGUAGUGAAUGUGCCAGAAGUGGCGAAUGCUGCACUGGGCAACGCCGCGUGAGGGGUGAAUGUCGUGUGAUCGUAAAACGCUUUUAUUAGGGAAGAACAUAUGUGUAAGGAACUGGGCACAUCUAGAGGGUACCCAGACAGAGAGCCAGGGCUAAAUACG